rnacentral:tRNA from 4 species
GAGCCAUUAGCUCAGUUGGCAGAGCACCUGACUUUUAAUCAGGGUGUCGAUGGUUCGAGUCCAUCAUGGCUCACCA